rnacentral:rRNA from 1 species
GCCCUCUGGUUGAUCCUGGCGGCAGGCCUAACACAUGCAAGUCGAGCGGUAACAUGCCUUCGGGUGACGACGAGCGGCGGACGGGUGAGUAAUGCUUGGGGAUCUGCCCGAUGGCGGGGGACAACCACUGGAAACGGUGGCUAAUACCGCAUAAUGUCUACGGACCAAAGUGUGGGACCUUCGGGCCACACGCCAUCGGAUGAACCCAAGUGAGAUUAGCUAGUUGGUGGGGUAAAGGCUCACCAAGGCGACGAUCUCUAGCCGGUUUGAGAGGAUGAUCAGCCACACUGGGACUGAGACACGGCCCAGACUCCUACGGGAGGCAGCAGUGGGGAAUAUUGGACAAUGGGCGCAAGCCUGAUCAGCCAUGCCGCGUGUGUGAAGAAGGCCUUAGGGUUGUAAAGCUCUGUUGUUAG